GGGGGUAUAGCUCAGCUGGGAGAGCGCUUGCAUGGCAUGCAAGAGGUCGCCGGUUCGAUCCCGACUACCUCCACCA
rnacentral:tRNA from 1 species